CAAGAGUUGAAAGAUCGACGAGAUUAAGUCUUCAAAAUGCCAUCCAAGACAAACAUUGCAAAAAGAGGCUGAAGAUACUGUCAAUGUUAGAAAUGAUCAGCCAUCAACCUCCAAGAACAAUGAUGUAGAUUUUUCCAAUGGAGAUGUUCAAUAUGAUGGUACAACAUGUUACACGUGUACCGAGGAGUACGGAAGGGAAAAGCUUCGGCAACAUGAUUCAGAGCACGCGC